rnacentral:snoRNA from 1 species
UUCAAGGAUGAUUUACUCUAUUUAUCACGACGGUCAACGUAGCCAAUGCAUUGACGACCACAGCCUGUGACAGGGCUUAGAUCUGAAU